AACGUACGCUGGCGGCACGCCUAACACAUGCAAGUCGAACGAAGUAGCAAUACUUAGUGGCAGACGGGUGAGUAACAUGUGGGUAUCUGCCCUUUGGCCUGGAAUAACACGAGGAAACUUGUGCUAAUACCGGAUAAGUCUUUACGGAGAAAGCUUUUAUGCACCAUUGGAUGAGCCCGCACUUGAUUAGUUUGUUGGUGGGGUAAUGGCCUACCAAGACUAUGAUCAAUAGCUGAUUUGAGAGGAUGAUCAGCCACAUUGGGACUGAGACACGGCCCAAACUCCUACGGGAGGCAGCAGUGGGGAAUCUUGCACAAUGGAGGAAACUCUGAUGCAGCGAUGCCGCGUGAGUGAAGAAGGCCCUUGGGUUGUAAAGCUCUUUCGUCGGGGAAGAAAACGACUGUACCCGAAUAAGAAGGUCCGGCUAACUUCGUG
rnacentral:rRNA from 1 species